UCCGCGUCAAAAUUUGUUAGCGUCACUAAUUUCUAUUCCUCAUUUUUCAUCUUCUCGUGAAAAGCCAAACAAAAACAAAAGCCCUUGUGAGACAUUGUGUGGUCGCCCCUUCUAUCCUUGCUCUAGAUCUGCACGCCACAUCGCUGCCUCCAGACUUUCCUUCAACAUCUGCACGCUACCGCCGUCACCGGCACCUAUAUCGUCGUGUUCACGAAGUUGCUCCUCUUCAUUCACUUUUGUCGGUUCUCCAAUUUUUGACGUUGUCGCUGUCAGGUUCACGCUGCUGUAUCUGCUGUCAGACUCCUCUUCAUUUCCUUGAGCAGGGCAUCACAAAUCUUGUCUUUGAAGUUUUUGUUGGUGUAGCAAAAAUUCUUUACCGCAAGUGUACGAGUCAAACUUUAAUAAAGUGACAGUUGGAAGAAUUGAAGCAACACAAGGAUGAUGAUCUUCCUAAAGUUCAAGUAGUGAAGAACCAAAGGGUGAAUGAAAUGAUACCAGUGCAUAUGGAUCAAAGAUUGCAACUCAUUUUCUACUCCAUAUUGCUUUAUUCUUCAGAACUUGGUGAAAAUUUUGUAAUUUUGUGAACUAAUAGUUGGGAAUUAUUUUCCGUAAAUUUAUAUAAAACAUUGUUUAUCUAAUAAUGAAUGCUUUAUUUUGUGAUGUAAUUGAUAAUAAAACUUCAUUUAUCUAAA